rnacentral:rRNA from 1 species
GACGAACGCUGGCGGCGUGCUUAACACAUGCAAGUCGAACGGUAAGGCCCUUCGGGGUACACGAGUGGCGAACGGGUGAGUAACACGUGGGUGAUCUGCCCUGCACUUCGGGAUAAGCCUGGGAAACUGGGUCUAAUACCGGAUAGGACCACUGCCUGCAUGGGUGGUGGUGGAAAGCUUUUGCGGUGUGGGAUGGGCCCGCGGCCUAUCAGCUUGUUGGUGGGGUGAUGGCCUACCAAGGCGACGACGGGUAGCCGGCCUGAGAGGGUGACCGGCCAAACUGGGACUGAGAUACGGCCCAGACGCCUACGGGGGGCAGCAGUGGGGAAUAUUGCACAAUGGGCGCAAGCCUGAUGCAGCGACGCCGCGUGAGGGAUGACGGCCUUCGGGUUGUAAACCUCUUUCAGCACCGACGAAGCGCAAGUGACGGUAGGUGCAGAAGAAGGACCGGCCAACUACGUGCCAGCCGCCGCAGUAA